GACGAACGCUGGCGGCGUGCUUAACACAUGCAAGUCGAACGAAGUGGCGAACGGGUGAGUAACGCGUAAUCAACCUGCCCUUCAGAGGGGGACAAAAGUUGGAAACGACGGCUAAUACCACAUACUGAAGGAGGGGAUUGCGUCUGAUUAGCUAGUUGGGGGGGUAACGGCCCACCAAGGCGAUGCUCAGUCGCCGGUCUGAGAGGAUGAACGGCUACAUUGGUGCUUGGACAAGUCCCAGGCUCCUACGGGAGGCAGCAGUGGGGAAUCUUCCGCAAUGGACGAAAGUCUGACGGAGCAACGCCGCGUGAGUGAUGACGGCCUUCGGGUUGUAAAGCUCUGUUAAUCGGGACGCGGUACCGGAAUAGAAAGCCACGGCUAACUACGUGCCAGCAGCCGCGGUAAUAC
rnacentral:rRNA from 1 species